rnacentral:ncRNA from 1 species
GCGGAGGAAAAGAAAGCAACAGCGAUAGCCUCAGUAACGGCGAGUGAAGCGGCUACAGCUCAAAUUUGAAAUCUGGCUCCCUUUGGGCGUCCGAGUUGUAAUUUGCAGAGGAUGCUUUGGCAUUGGCGGCGGUCUAAGUUCCUUGGAACAGGACAUCGCAGAGGGUGAGAAUCCCGUACGUGGGCGCCUGCCUUUGCCGUGUAAAGCUCCUUCGACGAGUCGAGUUGUUUGGGAAUGCAGCUCUAAAUGGGAGGUAAAUUUCUCCUAAAGCUAAAUACCGGCCAGAGACCGAUAGCGCACAAGUAGAGUGAUCGAAAGAUGAAAAGUACUUUGGAAAGAGAGUCAAAUAGCACGUGAAAUUGUUGAAAGGGAAGCGCUUGCAGCCAGACUUGCCCGCAGUUGCUCACCUAGGCUUUUGCCUGGGGCACUCUUCUGCGGGCAGGCCAGCAUCAGUUUGGGCGGUCGGAUAAAGGUCUCUGUCAUGUACCACCCCUCGGGGUGGCCUUAUAGGGGAGACGCAAUGCGACCAGCCCGGACC